CGGGGGGCAGCAGUGGGGAAUAUUGGACAAUGGGCGAAAGCCUGAUCCAGCAAUACCGCGUGUGUGAAGAAGGCCUUAGGGUUGUAAAGCACUUUCAAUUGGGAGGAAAACCUCAUAGCUAAUAUCUGUGAGCUUGACAUUACCUUUAGAAGAAGCACCGGCUAACUCCGUGCCAGCAGCCGCGGUAAUACGGAGGGUGCGAGCGUUAAUCGGAAUUACUGGGCGUAAAGCGUGCGUAGGCGGCUUGUUAAGUCAGAUGUGAAAGCCCUGGGCUCAACCUGGGAACUGCAUUUGAAACUGGCGAGCUAGAGUUUGAGAGAGGUAAGUGGAAUUUCAGGUGUAGCGGUGAAAUGCGUAGAGAUCUGAAGGAACACCAGUGGCGAAGGCGACUUACUGGCUUAAAACUGACGCUGAGGUACGAAAGCGUGGGUAGCAAACAGGAUUAGAUACCCGAGU
rnacentral:rRNA from 1 species